rnacentral:rRNA from 1 species
UUAAAUUGAAGAGUUUGAUCAUGGCUCAGAUUGAACGCUGGCGGCAGGCCUAACACAUGCAAGUCGAACGGUAACAGGAAGCAGCUUGCUGUUUUGCUGACGAGUGGCGGACGGGUGAGUAAUGUCUGGGAAACUGCCUGAUGGAGGGGGAUAACUACUGGAAACGGUAGCUAAUACCGCAUAACGUCGCAAGACCAAAGAGGGGGACCUUAGGGCCUCUUGCCAUCGGAUGUGCCCAGAUGGGMUUAGCUWGUAGGUGGGGUAACGGCUCACCUAGGCGACGWUCCCUAGCUGGUCUGAGAGGAUGACCAKCCACACUGGAACUGAGACACGGUCCAGACUCCUACGGGAGGC